rnacentral:tRNA from 1 species
AUUUAAAUAGCUCAUAAAGAGCGUGGCAUUGAAGAUGCUAAGGAAAUUUUAUAAUUUUUAAAUA